rnacentral:lncRNA from 1 species
AAGAGCAAGUCGUCUUACCAUUAUUAGGCCUCAUUCACGAAGCCGGUCUAUAAGCGGGGUAUAAGGUUACUUCAUAUAAAAUGGGAGUUUAAUGGGUGUCCACUCUCACCUACCGCUUCCUUGACUGGUGGAUGGUCGUUAGCCGAAUGGAUAGGACAACGACUAUAAUUCUCCCUUCAUUAAAAGUAUUAAUGAUAAAUAUAAAGUAACCAAAUGUUUUUUUAUAAUUCCUAAUCUUAGUUACUUUAGUAAAAUGUGAAUAAGGUGCUAAUCCAUGAAAUUACACUUUGCACUUUGUUUAAGUCGGUUAGUGGAGCGUGUGUGGUUAACCGGCACACUAACUCGUAUUUAACAAGGUAGGCAAAGGGUAACUUAAUGUUUAUCAUAGUAUCGAUGGAGCGUGUGUGGUUAACCGGCACAUCGAUUGAGGGGUAAACACUUAAGGGUACUAAGUAAUUUGCAUGGUUACUUCACACCUUGUUUUGUGAUCCUCGGCAUCCCAGUCACAAAACCUGAAGGGCACACUCGAGAUUGAAACAUGCCAUUGAACAGUUCAAUGAAUCUCAAAAGAUCUAGGAGUUUCAAAACCAAGUAAAACCUAAUUAAAUUAUUUCAUUUUCAUGGUGGAAAUUACUGAAUCAUCAUUCGCCUACCUUGAAAUAUUCUAUAGCUAGGAUUAUGACAUCCCUCUUCCAUGUUAUAAAAUAUUUUGUUGGGUCCUAGCCUUAAUAUUUCAUAUUGGGUGUUAUAUUAAGGACAUUAGAUCAACUAUCUUGAAUGUCUCCCAAAAGAUGUCUAGUUAAGACAUCUAUGAUCUUCCCAAAUCUCUUGGAACUUCACUUCCUCCACCUCCUCCAAUUAUUCUCCCUAUCCCACAAGUUCAAUGUCACUCAAGCCCUAUUGGCAAGCAAGGUCUAUAUGUGGUCGCAUCUUGGAGAUGAAGUCACAUAUUGACAAGCCGGGAGAGUUGGGUGUGAAAGUCUUAUGAAAGUUGGAUGUUUAAUCACUUUCUAAGUCACAUAGUGAGUUACCUUUGGGACUACUAUGAAAUAGACUAUGACAUGACCCUUAAUGAUCUUAUCUAUUUGCUUGGAGCUGCUGAAUCAACAAUGAUUUGGAAGGGUAGUAAAGCAAAUUUGAUUAGAAGAUCGACUUCCCAAAACUUUAUGGACAUUGACAAUGGUGACACUGGAAAUGCAGAAAAACCAUUCUCUUCCCAAUGGAAAGGGAUCGACCAUAGUUAACUCGGUUGACCAAAUGGUACAGAGAAAGGCUAAGUCUGUGAUAGUCCAAUGUACCAUUACUAAAGCGUCCAUAUGUUAAAUUUCCAAAGGAAAGGGAAUUGAUUGCAAAGAUACCAAAUUUACCUAACGAAGUUAAAGUCAAUAAGUCUGACUCUACUUCAGGUUAAGUCCAUUGUCUAACUCUGUUAAGCUCAUAUUUGGAGAUUCUAUUACAUAAUGUGACUGGGUAACAUGGUGAUAAGAAUCAAAGAAAGAGAGUAAAGGAAGUAUAUGCUGAUCCUGAUCGCAAGAUGGGUUUCGAUCGCAUCAGAAUUUUGAGCUGUUACUUAGGAGUUAUGACACAUUGCUUAGGAAUAGAUAACAACAAGGUUUUCAUUCGCACUGUAAGGAUAAGUUUUUCCGCAAAGUUUUAAAAUAAAAGGAAAAAUAUUUGAUUUUAUUUAUGUUAAGUAUCCUUACAAUGGCAUUUAUGGAAAAGUGUUGCUUAUAUGAUACCUUUGAUAGCAAUAUUGGAAAUAUUAAUUUGAUUCUUUCAUUUGUGCUAGUGUCUAAAUUUAGCAAAUAAGGAAAGAAUCUCAUCACCCAAGUUUCAAUUCGACCGAAACUUGGAAUCAUAAAAGGUGUUUAGUGUGAUGUAUUAGAAUUUUCAAUUUGGAAAAUUAAGACUAGUUCCGUGUUCACAUGUAUAUGUGACUCAAGAGAAGGACUAAGGGAUCAAGUACACAUUCUUGUGCACUAGCGAAAGUUCACCACAAAAUAUGGAUAACAGUAUUCGUCAUGAUUUACUAAGGUUUAGUAAAUAUGAUUAUACUUACAAGCUUAAGUAUAAUUCUGAGACAUUGGAAAAUUUUCAGUGUAUGGCAGAACGAAUGAGAAGAAUCAAAUUACGCAGAAGGAUAAAAGUUUCUCAAAUCUGAAAAGAUGGGAGAGUACUUUAGUAUUAGGUUUUGUGAUCAUCUUAAUGAUUUGGAAAUCAUAUCACAAUUAGUCCUCUAAGGAAAUCUUAGUGCAUUCUUAUGACUAAGAAGAGGAAUAUUGAAUUGUUGGAAUGGUUAAAUCAAGAAGAUGAGUCAUACUUCGUUCCAAAAAAGUCUUAGAGUCAUACUCCAAGACUGUGAGUUGAGUGACAUGUCUUAAAGAAGGCUUAAAACACUUGUCAAAUGUAAGAGUAAAAGUUUUCUACUCUUGUACAUUUGAAAUGGGUAAGUGGUGAUGUUUUGAAUAAAACAAAGACCAAAUAAGCCCAAUUGUGUUAAGUGUCUGUCUUGAUUAGAAUCCACACUAUCUCUUGAAUAUUUUGCAAGAAAGUCUUAUAGGUCAAGGAGACAGUGGGAGUCUAAAUGAUCUUAAAAUGGUUUCAAGAAGUAAUCAAGAAUAAAACAUGUAUUGCAUCACUAGCACACAACUCGGGGUUUAUAACCUAUCUUGUUGACAUUUCUAUGCCCAUUGCAGUUAAGUUGGCUAUACAUUGGAGUUCUACAUGUUCUCAAUUGCUUGCAUAGCUACUUCGAAGAAUUAGCAGGCCCUUGAGCUGCUAGGUGGCAAGAAGUUAUUAUUGCACAAGUUCAAUCCAUAUGAGUUAGGAUUUGUCACUAACCUAGUCUUAUGAUUAUGGUUUGACAAAUUCACAUGGAUAAGAACACAUACACCAUAAAAUAUAAGUGUCAUAAGGUUUCUCUCCGAUUCAUGAAAAUGAUGGUUAUGAAAUUCUUUCACUAAGUAGAUUUUAAGUAAACAGAAAUUGUGAUAUUUGCAGUUCUCAAAAUCAUUAGUGGAGCGUGCGUGGUUAACCGGCACACUAACAUGGACAUAUGAGAAAUGGCAAAGGUCUAAGCAAUUGAGACAAUGAUUACGGCAUCCCUUUUCAUAGUUCUGAAAUUGUUUUGACACACAUGUGAUCUAUGUAAGAUAAGGUGUAUGAUUUUAAUAAAGUCUUAUCAAAGCAAUCUAGUAUCAGAAAUCUGAACUUUGGUAAGAAUGUCAAUAAAGUAUUGACUUCCAGAGGUCCAGAUGUUUUCUGGACACAUAUCAAAGCUAGUGGGAGCAUAAGUGUUAUGCGAAGAAUCAUCAUGUUAGUGUGCAUACAUAUUCUCUCAAGUUCAUCCAAGGUGUUUAAGGUGAUUUGUGAUUCCACUUGAGGCUUCCACACUAUUGGGGCUAAGAUCUUAAAGUUUGAAGACAUCAAGCUACAUCAAAAGGUAUGUCAUCUAAAUAGAACUGUGUAGUAUAGGUGCUUCAUAAUAUGCUAGUUACGAUGAAACCUUGUAAUGUUUAAUAUUUGCAUGUAUAAUAGAGAAAACAUAGAUCCAAGGUUUAUAGGGUUGCAUGUACACCAUAGGAGUGUUAGAAUGCUCAAAACCCAAUAGUGGUAUCAGUGCCUAGGCUUGUUUUCUUGUUAUACUUACUUAAAUUGCUGAAAAAUCGAAGAUUUGUGUUGACUGGACAAGGGACUCGACGAGUCCUUGAAGGGACUCGACGAGUCCAAGUGCAAACUCACCCAACUUGCCGAGUUGGUUCAUGUACUCGACGAGUUGGAACUCCUGACAGCAUAUCUUCGUGUUUUAAAGCUGGAAUUGGUAUAGAAUGAUUACCUUAAGCUGUUGUGGACUUAUAAAACUUGUUUUUAAAGUGAUAAUGAUUAUAGUAAACCAAAUUCAAGGUUAAAAUCAAAAUUUAAAGUUUUAUUUAUGUUGAUGUAAUUCUUGAAAUUGUUGAUAUGGAUUGUUCAUGCUUAUGUGUUUUGGUAGAUCAUAGGAAUUAUUUACAAAAGGUGUUUGUUAGUUAAUUCUUGAUCUAAAUGUAUUUUAAUGGAGUCCAUAAUUUGUCCUCAAGUUAUGGACAACAAAAAGUUUUUUUUUGUGUUACCUUGUUUUAUGAGUUAUUUUAGAUUAAUGAAAAAUAUGUGUUACUUGUUUUUAAUCCAAAUUAAUCUAAAAGUUUUUCAUAAAAUGUGUUUUGGUACCAUAAAAAUGCCUUAGGUUACAAAAAAUUAAGAGUCUUUUCUUAUAAAUAGUUUUUUUAUGGCUCCAUAACUUGUCCUCAAGUUAUGGAUGUCCAAGAGUCUCUUCAUUAAAAGUUUUAAAGCUUUAAUUAAACUCAUAAGUUAUCAAAAUCCAAGACUUUUGAAUAGUUUCAAAACUUUCCCUCAAGUUUUGGCAUUUGUAAAGUUUUCCCAUGAAUACUUUAAUUUCAAGUUAAGCCCUUAGAAUUUUAAAAGUUAAAAUUCAACCCUUAUACUUUAUAAUAUUAAGUUAAUAAUAUUUAUAUAUAUUUAUAAGAGCAAGUCGUCUUACCAUUAUUAGGCCUCAUUCACGAAGCCGGUCUAUAAGCGGGGUAUAAGGUUACUUCAUAUAAAAUGGGAGUUUAAUGGGUGUCCACUCUCACCUACCGCUUCCUUGACUGGUGGAUGGUCGUUAGCCGAAUGGAUAGGACAACGACUAUAAUUCUCCCUUCAUUAAAAGUAUUAAUGAUAAAUAUAAAGUAACCAAAUGUUUUUUUAUAAUUCCUAAUCUUAGUUACUUUAGUAAAAUGUGAAUAAGGUGCUAAUCCAUGAAAUUACACUUUGCACUUUGUUUAAGUCGGUUAGUGGAGCGUGUGUGGUUAACCGGCACACUAACUCGUAUUUAACAAGGUAGGCAAAGGGUAACUUAAUGUUUAUCAUAGUAUCGAUGGAGCGUGUGUGGUUAACCGGCACAUCGAUUGAGGGGUAAACACUUAAGGGUACUAAGUAAUUUGCAUGGUUACUUCACACCUUGUUUUGUGAUCCUCGGCAUCCCAGUCACAAAACCUGAAGGGCACACUCGAGAUUGAAACAUGCCAUUGAACAGUUCAAUGAAUCUCAAAGGAUCUAGGAGUUUCAAAACCAAUUAAAACCUAAUUAUACAUUUCGUUUAUCUUGGUGGAAAUUGGUGAAUCGUCAUUCACCUACCUUCAAAUAUUUUAUAGCUUGGAUUACGGCAUACCUCUUCUAAGUUAUAAAAUAGUUUGUUGGGUCCUAGCCUUAAUAUUUCAUAUUGGGUGUCAUAUUAAGGACUUUAAAUCAACUAUCUUGAAUAUCUCCCAAAAGAUGUCUGGUUAAGACAUCUAUGAUCUUCCCAAAUCUCUUGGAACUUCACUUCCUCCACCUCCUCCAAUUAUUCUCCCUAUCCCACAAGUUCAAGGUCACUCAAGCCCUAUUGGCAAGCAUGGUCUAUAUGUGGUCGCAUCUUGGAGAUGAAGUCACAUAUUGACAAGCCGGGAG